rnacentral:rRNA from 1 species
GACGAACGCUGGCGGCGUGCCUAACACAUGCAAGUCGAACGGAACUGUUUUGAAAGAUUUCUUCGGAAUGAAUUCGAUCUAGUUUAGUGGCGGACGGGUGAGUAACGCGUGAGUAACCUGCCUUCAAGAGGGGAAUAACAUUCUGAAAAGAAUGCUAAUACCGCAUGACAUAUCGGAACCACCUGGUUUUGAUAUCAAAGAUUUUAUCGCUUGCAGAUGGACUCGCGUCCGAUUAGUUAGUUGGUGAGGUAACGGCUCACCAAGACCGCGAUCGGUAGCCGGACUGAGAGGUUGCACGGCCACCUUGGGACUGAGACACGGCCCGGGCUCCUACGGGAGGCCGCAGUGGGGGUGAUUGCGCAAUGGGAGCAACCCUGACGCAGCCACGCCGCGUGAAGGAUGCCGGUUUUCGGAUUGGAAACUUCUUUUAUUAAGGACGAAAAAUGACGGUACUUAAUGAAUAAGCCCCGGCUAACUACGUG